rnacentral:lncRNA from 1 species
CAAGCAUUGCCUUAUACCCUUCGUGUUACCUGCACAGAUCUGCAUGCAGAGAUUGAAGAUAAAGCUGACAGGACAACUUCUUUAGCCACCUGGCUUCACUAUCAGACAAAAGGGACCUUGAAGAUCCACCCUGACCAUGCUGAGAUUUGGGCAGCACCUGAUCAAGCCCUCGGUGGUGUUCCUGAGGACAGAGCUGUGCUUUGCUCUGGUGAACCGCAGGCCGGUGGUGCCAGGCCGUAUCCUUUCCAUGGUGCUGCUCCCUAGGAAAGGCAGCACACUAUCAGGACACUUGGAAAGCCAGUUCCAACUUUCAGCCGGAAAAACACUCAUGGCUACUGUUCCUCUUGUGGAGUCGUGAACUGAUUUGUG